CGCAAAGAGUCGGACACGACUGAGCGACUGAACUGAACUGAACUAACAGUUAAUUUGCAAUGCUCUAUUAUUUUGCUUAACUAACAAUUUUAUGUAGAAAUAACCAGGGUUCUGUAUUCACAUUAUCUUUACCCAAGAGCUUUUAAAUAAAUAUCAUUGAUUACUUGCAAAUUACAGAUUGUGGAUUCAAAGCUCAAAAGUAAAGCUCUAAGGAUAUAAUUCAGUUAAAACGAUCCAUAAUUGUGAAUUCACCUCAUCAGUGCCCCUAAGACAAGAAACUCUAUCUUACAUUAUAGUGAGUUAUUUCAAUGAUCAUGGCCUGCACAGGAAAAAAUCGAAUAAAAAGCCAACAAUAUCCUAACCCCUUUGCAAUUAAAAUAAAACUUUUGUCUAAAGCUUCUUUAUCCCUCACCUCACAAUUUCUAUAAAAAUAUGAACACAAAAGCUGGGGCCAAAUCAAUCACUGAAAUAAUUCAAUAUUUUCUGACAAGUUACAUAUUUUUACCAAAUGGUGGGGUUGUCAUCUAUGAUGUCAUUGCAAAGGAUUUGAUAGGGUCCAAAAUACUUCAAACUUCACUCCAUUAUAUCCCUGUUAGAUUGAAAUUUUCUGCCAAGACCUUCAUGAGGCAUACAGCUCCAUCUACAGGUUCCUAAUCAUUUCCUUGUCUUCUCUUCAGAAAAAAUAUCAACCUUCAUCAUCCUCUUUUAGCACAUUAUCCAACACUCUGAGCAAAAGAAAGGCUGGAACUAUGAUGCCAGAUUCUCAGUUGCUAUUGAGCCUAAAAUGCCUUUCAUCUAUGACCUCUAGGAUUCUUCUCUAAUAAAAGGUGAAUUACAUUUUCAGAGGUAUUUAAGCAGAGUGCCUGUAAGAAUAUAAUUUAAAAACAUAUAUAAGGUCAUUCUGACUUCCAGAAUGGGAAAGACCACAGAAAAUCUACUUCCCCAUAAAAGUGAUGAAAACACUGGAGAAAGUUGUCCCAAAAAGUCAGCUUCCUCAGAACUCUGGAAAUUAAGCUGCAACAAGUUAAGGUAUGUCUCUUUAAGAAAAAAACUUGCAUUUCAGUGAGCCUUAUGACAUUUUAAUUUGUCCUAUUCAUAUCCCUCUUUUCCCAACUCUGUGGUAGACUUAAAAAUGAAUAGCCUCAAAAUUAGAGUGAAAAUAAGAACAUAGUAUUCACUGGUGGGGCUCAAUGGAUGGGGCAGAAUGGGUAUGGAGCUCCCAAGAGUCCCAAGCUCAGAGCAGUAUCAUUAUUUGACCUGGUAAUUUUCUCAAAACCUCUACUCAUGGGAGUAUAAAAUGGAGAUAAUAGUAGUCAUCCCCAUUAGUUUGUUUUAAGGAUUAAAUGAGAUAAUGUAUGAAAAGUUAGCUAACAGAAGCCAGCCACUCAAUAAAUGUUAAUUUUUGUUGAUGUUGUUAUAACUAGUAUUAUUUCUACUCUUCCCACAAAGCUGGAAACAGUUAAUGCCUAUAAAUUCUCUUGGUUAAUUUUUUAGCCAGUGAAUUGAUUGAUUAUUGGCAGAUAUUAACGAACAGAUAUAUAACUCAUGGAAGUGACACAAUAGGAUCCAGAAAACAGCUUCAUUAGAAGCCUAGAUAUCUUUGCCACAAAGGGAGUGAAACUCAUUUUUAAUAAUUGCCCACCAUCUGUCAGAUUGCUGUUGUUUAGUUGCUAAGUCGUGCCUGACUCUUUUGAGACCCCAUGGAUUGCAC
ensembl:lncRNA